rnacentral:rRNA from 1 species
UUAAAUUGAAGAGUUUGAUCAUGGCUCAGAUUGAACGCUGGCGGCAGGCCUAACACAUGCAAGUCGAACGGUAACAGGAAACAGCUUGCUGUUUCGCUGACGAGUGGCGGACGGGUGAGUAAUGUCUGGGAAACUGCCUGAUGGAGGGGGAUAACUACUGGAAACGGUAGCUAAUACCGCAUAACGUCGCAAGACCAAAGAGGGGGACCUUCGGGCCUCUUGCCAUCGGAUGUGCCCAGAUGGGAUUAGCUAGUAGGUGGGGUAACGGCUCACCUAGGCGACGAUCCCUAGCUGGUCUGAGAGGAUGACCAGCCACACUGGAACUGAGACACGGUCCAGACUCCUACGGGAGGCAGCAGUGGGGAAUAUUGCACAAUGGGCGCAAGCCUGAUGCAGCCAUGCCGCGUGUAUGAAGAAGGCCUUCGGGUUGUAAAGUACUUUCAGCGGGGAGGAAGGGAGUAAAGUUAAUACCUUUGCUCAUUGACGUUACCCGCAGAAGAAGCACCGGCUAACUCCGUGCCAGCAGCCGCGGUAAUACGGAGGGUGCAAGCGUUAAUCGGAAUUACUGGGCGUAAAGCGCACGCAGGCGGUUUGUUAAGUCAGAUGUGAAAUCCCCGGGCUCAACCUGGGAACUGCAUCUGAUACUGGCAAGCUUGAGUCUCGUAGAGGGGGGUAGAAUUCCAGGUGUAGCGGUGAAAUGCGUAGAGAUCUGGAGGAAUACCGGUGGCGAAGGCGGCCCCCUGGACGAAGACUGACGCUCAGGUGCGAAAGCGUGGGGAGCAAACAGGAUUAGAUACCCUGGUAGUCCACGCCGUAAACGAUGUCGACUUGGAGGUUGUGCCCUUGAGGCGUGGCUUCCGGAGCUAACGCGUUAAGUCGACCGCCUGGGGAGUACGGCCGCAAGGUUAAAACUCAAAUGAAUUGACGGGGGCCCGCACAAGCGGUGGAGCAUGUGGUUUAAUUCGAUGCAACGCGAAGAACCUUACCUGGUCUUGACAUCCACAGAACCUUGUAGAGAUACGAGGGUGCCUUCGGGAACUGUGAGACAGGUGCUGCAUGGCUGUCGUCAGCUCGUGUUGUGAAAUGUUGGGUUAAGUCCCGCAACGAGCGCAACCCUUAUCCUUUGUUGCCAGCGGUCCGGCCGGGAACUCAAAGGAGACUGCCAGUGAUAAACUGGAGGAAGGUGGGGAUGACGUCAAGUCAUCAUGGCCCUUACGACCAGGGCUACACACGUGCUACAAUGGCGCAUACAAAGAGAAGCGACCUCGCGAGAGCAAGCGGACCUCAUAAAGUGCGUCGUAGUCCGGAUUGGAGUCUGCAACUCGACUCCAUGAAGUCGGAAUCGCUAGUAAUCGUGGAUCAGAAUGCCACGGUGAAUACGUUCCCGGGCCUUGUACACACCGCCCGUCACACCAUGGGAGUGGGUUGCAAAAGAAGUAGGUAGCUUAACCUUCGGGAGGGCGCUUACCACUUUGUGAUUCAUGACUGGGGUGAAGUCGUAACAAGGUAACCGUAGGGGAACCUGCGGUUGGAUCACCUCCUUACCUUAAAGAAGC